UGGUAUUAAGCAUAUAAAGUGGAUCGUCUUACUAAUCCUGAGAACAGCCCUUUGAGGUUAAUCUCCUGGAGCAGAGAAAAGAGGCGGCCAAGGAAGAAUUGCUGAACCAGUUAGGAGACUACUGCAGCAAUCCCAGCAAGAGAUGAUAAUGUGGACUCAGGGGAUGGCAGAGCAGACACAGAAAAGUGGACAGGUUUCAGAGGACUUGCUACUCCCCGGCCCCGGGUCAUGUUAUCCUGCAGCCCCUCUGACCAGCCUUCCUUUCCGUCUUGUCUUCACAGCUCCUCCA